GAUGAACGCUGGCGGCGUGCUUAACACAUGCAAGUCGAACGAUGAAGCUCCAGCUUGCUGGGGUGGAUUAGUGGCGAACGGGUGAGUAACACGUGAGUAACCUGCCCUUGACUCUGGGAUAAGCCUUGGAAAACGGGGGUCUAAUACCGGAUAGGAGCAUUCACCGCAUGGUGGGUGUUGGAAAGAGUUUCGGUCUUGGAUGGACUCGCGGCCCAUCAGCUUGUUGGUGAGGUAAUGGCUCACCAAGGCGACGACGGGUAGCCGGCCUGAGAGGGUGACCGGCCACACUGGGACUGAGACACGGCCCAGACUCCUACGGGAGGCAGCAGUGGGGAAUAUUGCACAAUGGGCGCAAGCCUGAUGCAGCGACGCCGCGUGAGGGAUGACGGCCUUCGGGUUGUAAACCUCUUUCAGUAGGGAAGAAGCGAAAGUGACGGUACCUGCAGAAGAAGCACCGGCUAACUACGUG
rnacentral:rRNA from 1 species